rnacentral:rRNA from 1 species
CAAUAGCGUAUAUUUAAGUUGUUGCAGUUAAAAAGCUCGUAGUUGGAUUUCGGAUGGGACUUGCCGGUCCGUCGUUUCGAUGUGCACUGGCCAGUCCUAUCUUGUUGUCGGGACUAGCUCCUGGGCUUCACUGUCCGGGACUAGGAGCUGACGAGGUUACUUUGAGUAAAUUAGAGUGUUCAAAGCAAGCCUACGCUCUGAAUACAUUAGCAUGGAAUAACACGAUAGGACUCUGGCUUAUCUUGUUGGUCUGUGAGACCAGAGUAAUGAUUAAGAGGGACAGUCGGGGGCAUUCGUAUUUCAUUGUCAGAGGUGAAAUUCUUGGAUUUAUGAAAGACGAACUUCUGCGAAGGCAUUUGGCAAGGAUGUUUNCAUUAA